rnacentral:rRNA from 1 species
GGGGCUAUAUUGGGACACUGGGCGAAGCCUUGAUGCCAGCCAUGCCGCGUGUGUGAAGAAGGUCUUCGGAUUGUAAAGCACUUUAAGUUGGGAGGAAGGGUUGUAAGAUUAAUACUCUGGAAUUUUGACGUUACCGACAGAAUAAGCACCGGGUAUACUCUGUGCCA